rnacentral:rRNA from 1 species
UACGGUAGGGGGCUAGCGUUGUCCGGAAUCAUUGGGCGUAAAGAGCGUGUAGGCGGUCCGGUAAGUCCGCUGUGAAAGUCGGGGGCUCAACCCUCGAAUGCCGGUGGAUACUGUCGGGCUAGAGUACGGAAGAGGCGAGUGGAAUUCCUGGUGUAGCGGUGAAAUGCGCAGAUAUCAGGAGGAACACCUAUUGCGAAGGCAGCUCGCUGGGACGUAACUGACGCUGAGACGCGAAAGCCAGGGGAGCGAACGGG